rnacentral:rRNA from 1 species
CAAUAGCGUAUAUUAAAGUUGUUGCAGUUAAAAAGCUCGUAGUUGGAUUUCUGGUAGGAGUGACUGUCCCAGACUUGAUUGUCUGUGUAUUGUGUUGUCUCCAGCCAUCCUUGUGGAGAACUUUUCUUGCAUUAAUUUGUAGGGAUUGGGACCCGCAUCGUUUACUGUGAAAAAAUUAGAGUGUUUAAAGCAGGCAAUCGCUUGAAUACAUUAGCAUGGAAUAAUAAGAUAGGACUUUGGUACUAUUUUGUUGGUUUGCAUACCAAAUUAAUGAUCAACAGGAACAGUUUGAGGAUAUUCGUAUGAACAUGUCAGAGGUGAAAUUCUUGGAUUUUGAUCAGACGAACUACUGCGAAAGCAUUUAUCAAGGAUGUUUUCAUUAA